rnacentral:rRNA from 1 species
ACGGGUGAGUAACGCGUAGGCAACCUGCCCCUUACAGAGGGAUAGCCUCGGGAAACCGGGAUUAAAACCUCAUAACGCAUACUAAACACAUGUUUAAGAUGCCAAAGAUUUAUCGGUAAGGGAUGGGCCUGCGUCUGAUUAGCUAGUUGGUAAGGUAACGGCUUACCAAGGCGACGAUCAGUAGCCGACCUGAGAGGGUAAUCGGCCACAUUGGAACUGAGACACGGUCCAAACUCC